AGAGAAGUAGCUAUGGGGAAAGUUCCAUUUUUACAAUUUGGUGAAAUCUGUUCGACUCAGGUUUUCUCUA
rnacentral:tRNA from 1 species